rnacentral:lncRNA from 1 species
AUAUCUUAACACUUUUAUUUAUGUGACUAUCUUGAGAUCUCAGUUUCUACUCUGGUCGUUUAUGGGCACCAUCAGUGAAAGAUAAACCCUUUAUCUUUAGAAAUAAAAUAAUUUACUUACAGAUCAUGAAAUGUAACCAAAGGAUUAUUUUACACUUAGAACAGUCCAAUUUGUUUGUAUUUAGCCCUUUGAUAAUAUGGAGGCAGGUAUAUAUCUCAUGUUUCAUUAUAUUACCAGAAACUUAUCUUGUUAGACAUGACCAAAGCAAUAAAUUAUACUUAAUGAAUGCUUUUAAUUAGCAGUGUCUAGAAAGCUGUAAUGUUUUAGUAAUUUUGAUAGUUGCUUUUGCUAUCUAGGUAUAAAUUUUCAUUUAAAAAGUUGGUAUAUAAAAAAGCUAUGUAAAAAUAUGGCCUAUUUAAGCUUUGAAGAAUAAAAUUGCACUCCUGCAAACAAAAG